CACUCCUACGGGAGGCAGCAGUGGGGAAUCUUGCGCCAUGGGCGAAAGCCUGACGCAGCCAUGCCGCGUGAAUGAUGAAGGUCUUAGGAUUGUAAAAUUCUUUCACCGGGGACGAUAAUGACGGUACCCGGAGAAGAAGCCCCGGCUAACUUCGUGCCAGCAGCCGCGGUAAUACGAAGGGGGCUAGCGUUGCUCGGAAUUACUGGGCGUAAAGGGAGCGUAGGCGGACAUUUAAGUCAGGGGUGAAAUCCCGGGGCUCAACCUCGGAAUUGCCUUUGAUACUGGGUGUCUUGAGUAUGAGAGAGGUGUGUGGAACUCCGAGUGUAGAGGUGAAAUUCGUAGAUAUUCGGAAGAACACCAGUGGCGAAGGCGACACACUGGCUCAUUACUGACGCUGAGGCUCGAAAGCGUGGGGAGCAAACAGGAUUAGAUACCCUUGUAGUCCCA
rnacentral:rRNA from 1 species